GAGUUUGAUCAUGGCUCAGGAUGAACGCUGGCGGCGUGCCUAAUACAUGCAAGUCGAGCGAACUGAUUAGAAGCUUGCUUCUAUGACGUUAGCGGCGGACGGGUGAGUAACACGUGGGCAACCUGCCUGUAAGACUGGGAUAACUUCGGGAAACCGAAGCUAAUACCGGAUAGGAUCUUCUCCUUCAUGGGAGAUGAUUGAAAGAUGGUUUUGGCUAUCACUUACAGAUGGGCCCGCGGUGCAUUAGCUAGUUGGUGAGGUAACGGCUCACCAAGGCAACGAUGCAUAGCCGACCUGAGAGGGUGAUCGGCCACACUGGGACUGAGACACGGCCCAGACUCCUACGGGAGCAGCAGUAGGAAUCUUCCGCAAUGGACGAAAGUCUGACGGAGCAACGCCGCGUGAGUGAUGAAGGCUUUCGGGUCGUAAAACUCUGUUGUUAGGGAAGAACAAGUACAAGAGUAACUGCUUGUACCUUGACGGUACCUAACCAGAAAGCCACGGCUAACUAC
rnacentral:rRNA from 1 species